GCCUGUGUAGCUGAGAUGGACUAGCACCGGUCUGAAAAGCCGGAUACGGAGAUUCGAGCGCUCCCGCAGGCACCA
rnacentral:tRNA from 1 species